GUGGCCACAGACUAACGUACAUAAAGACAUUUUUGGAGUCAGCACAGUUUAGCAUAUAUAAUAAAUGUAUUUCUUUUAUUAUAGACUUCAUGUUAUACCUGGGAUGUUAUGUAAUAUUAUGUUACACCUUGGAAGUUUUGUAUUACCUCAGAUCUUACGAUAUACCUGACAUUUUAUGAUAUACCUGGGAUGCUGUGAUGUACCUGGGAUGUUAUACUUGGGAUGUUAUACUUGGGAUAUUAUACCUGGAUGAUAUGCUAUAUGUGGUAUAUUAUUUAUUGUCAUUCAAUAGUUUGUAAUGGUAAAUUUAUGUGUUUGAGUUAUUAAUUGCUAACAUUUUAACAGAGUUUUAGUUUGACAAAAUAUUACAGAUAAUUUAAAAUUAUAAAAGUUUGUAGGCACACAUUCAUACAAACAAACAAAAAAAAAGCUUCUGUGAAUCUUUAGAUCGCAACACAUUUUUUUAAACGUUCACUAACUUAUCAAGUUGAAACUAUUGAGACCCAGUGAACUGGUUAUAACAAUGCAUGGCACAUCCUAAUCUUAUAUAGUUUGAUUGACUUUCUGUAAAUAGCAAGUGACUUUCUUUUCUGAAGUUUCUCAAGUUUUUGUCCAAUGGUUCUCUAACUAUUGAAUUCUUUUCUGUUUCAUUACAUACGUAUUCUUAUUGAAAACAGAAACGCAUUGACCAAAAGGUCUUGAUUUUGUAUCCUGUUCAAGGUUUCAAUUCUGAAUUUUCUUUGGUGUAAUAACCCCCUAGCGUUUGAUACGAAAAAAAACUCCAAUGGGACUUGGUGCUGCAUGUGACGCAAGUUCUAAGUAAUAAGUAAGUCUCACACGAGUUCUUCCACUCGAUUAUUAGAUAACUUAAAUUUCCCCUAGAUCUAUGUUUUGAAGGUAAAAAAAAAAGUAUUACCCAGUUUAUAUUUUGUUUAGAUUAAGACAUCUGUUUAUUUCCCCAAUUAAAUACUCGUUCCAUUUUUUUUGGCCGUGCUAUUAUUAGUACUUAUCAGUAAUUUACAUAUGAACUAGCAUAGAUUUUUUUAAACGAAACUGCAGAUUGAAGCAAAUAUAUUGACAAAUCAAAUAUGAUUACGGUGAUUUUCAUACUCAAGGCGCUUAAAAGAGAUUUUGAGACCGCCAAAAGUGUAUCCAUAGUGAUUAGUGCGCUCUGGUCUAAUCUCCUUUGAGAAUCUGUUCUAGCUUUAGGCAACGAAAACAUCAUCGCGAUAAAGAUUGGAUUAAAAAAUCUGGAAUCUUAAGUUCACGUCUACAGUCUACACACAAUCGAAUUCUUGUUUUCUUAUUUCUCAAGUCUUUUAUGUUGGUUAGUGAAAUCUUUAGGUCUGUCUUUUUAUCGUCAGUGCAUUUCUGUCCAUUAUGUGUUCAGGAAAUGAAUUUAAACCCUAAACAUACCUUGUCAAAAAGAUUGACUUGAUUCUUUUUGUUCUCCAGCUAAAAUGAGGCUCUACAACUUGGACUUUCGUUUAAUAGCGCUACUGACUAAGUUUGGCUUUUAUAAGAGUAUUGCAAUGCAAAUUUUAAACUCUUGCUAGAGGCAAGAGUGGCGAGUACCAUGAAAAAUAAAACCCUUGCCAUAAGGACAAGGGUGCACUCAUGCAGACUAAAAGAAGCGCGCCCUGUAAUGGAUAGGUUCAACCCACUAAAAAGUGACCAGUGUUGACACAUUACAGCUGCCACCAGCACGUUUCUAUGUCUAACAAAAUACUAGGAUAACUUGGAACUUUUGUUGUUUUGAAAUAGUAGGG